GAGAGAGAGAUUUAAUUAAGUAGGUACAUGAUCGCACGUGUCGUUUUUCUGCUCUUUUUUUUUUUUUUUUUUUUAAUAUAGAACAGCUGGCGAUAAGUCUUGCAUUUUUUUUUUUAGUGGUGGUGGUGGUGAUAGAACUUUUUUUUCGUCUUUAUCUUGUUCUUGUUGUUCUUGUUUUUCUUCUUGUUCUUGCUCUUUUUUCCUUCACCUCUUUCUUUGUUUUCUCCUUUGUGUUCUCUCCUCCUCCUCUUCUUCUUCUUUGUGGCUUUUGGCGAAUUGAUCUUUUGGUGAUUGCAGUGGCGGUGGCGGUCGGGGGGAGGGGGUUAGUGGUGGUGGUGGUGGUGGUUGUGGUGAUGAGAACAAACAUUAGUGGUGGUAGUGGUGGUGGUGGUGGUGGUGGUGGUAGUGGUGGUGGUGGUGGUAGUGAAGCCUUUGUUCACCAACCUGGUAAACACAACAAACUCUGCCUUUCUUUGCCUUCCAUCGACCUCACACUCUCCUUUCUCUUUUUUUUCCCCCCUGUUCUAACAUUAUUUUUCUCUUUUCCUUCCCCUCUUUCCUUUUCCUUGUUCUGCAUAUUUUCUUAUCUUUUUUCCUCUUGUUUUUUCUGGUUCUUUUUUUUUCCUGUUCUGACACUGUAUUUCUCUUCUUUUUCCUCUUUUUUCCUUUUCCUUGUUAUGCAUAUUUUCUUCUUCCCUUUUCCUCUUGUUUUUCCUGGUUCUUUAUUUCUUUCCUUUUUUUCCCCCUGUUCUGACACUAUAUUUCUCUUCUUUUUCCUCUUUUUCCUUUUCCUUGUUCUGCAUAUUUUCUUAUCUUUUUUCCUCUUGUUUUUCCUUGUUCUUUUUUUCUUUCUUUCCUUUUUCCCCCCCUGUUCUGACACUAUAUUUCUCUUCUUUUUCCUCUUUUUCCUUUUCCCUGUUCUGCAUAUUUUCUUAUCUUUUUCCUCUUGUUUUUCCUGGUUCUUUUUUUCUUUCUUUCCUUUUUUUCCCCCUGUUCUGACACUAUAUUUCUCUUCUUUUUCCUCUUUUUCCUUUUCCCUGUUCUGCAUAUUUUCUCCUUUUUCCUUGUGUUUUUCCUUGUUCAUAUAUUUUCUUUCUCUUUCUUUCUCUUCCCUGUUCUGAUAUUAUUUUUCUCUUCCUCUUUUUUCUUUUCCCUGUUUACAUAUUUUUUCUCCUCCUUUUCCUUAUGCUUUUCCUUGUUUCAUAUUUAUUAUCUUUAUUUCCUUCUUUUUUUCCCUGUUCUGACAAUUAUUUCAUCAUCCUCCUUUUUCCUCCUCUUAUUUCCCUCUUCUAUUUUUCUUCUUCCUCUCCUUCCUCUUCUUUUUUCAUUUCUCACAUUUUCCUCUUCUUCCUCUCAUUCCUCCUUUUUUCCCAGUUCUGACAUAAUAUUUUUCUCAUCCUCUCCUUUUUCCUCCUUUUCCCCUCUUCUGACAUUGUUCUUCGUUUCCUUUCUUUUCUUUUUCCUUCCCUCACAUUUUUUCUCUUCUUCCUCUUCGUUUCCCCUGUUCUGCAUAUUCUCCUUCCUUUUUCUGCCUUCCUGUCUCCCCUUCCUCAGCAAUAAUAAUAAUAAUAAUAAUAAUGGUUUAGUUUCCCUUCUCGCCUUUGUUCAGUCCGAUUCAGUUUACGUUCAGAGAGAGAGAGAGAGAGAGAGAGAGAGAGAGAGAGAGUUCGUAGUAGCAGCGUGAGUCACCCGAGAAAGUGCCGUGCAAAACUGAUUUAUACAUGAGUGUCGUGACUCGUGCGCGUGACACCCUCGCUUUCUUUUCGUCUCCUGCCAGUCUUGGGUACACGAGCCAUCGAUUUUCACCCCUCGACAUGUAUACCUGUCCUUCUUGUGGGUGCUGGUGUGAUACUACUACUACUACUACUACUACUACUACUACUACUACUACUACUACUACUACUACUACUACUACUACUACUAUUACUACUACUUCUAGGCUAUCAGCGGUUUCCAUAUAGCCUAUACUUUCCAUUUCUCUUACUCUCAUUUAUAUAUCUUUCCUUCCUUCCCUUCUAAUACUUUUUUUCUUUGUCUCUCCUUCUUGUUUGUUUACCAUUCUCCUUCUUCGGCGUCUUCAUUUAUUUAUUUUUAUUUUCUUCCAGUGGCCAAACGAGAAUAUAGAUUAGAGGAAGGGGGAAAAAUUCAUAAGGAAAGACUAACUGUAACAAAGCGUAAUGAAACCAUGCCUAGAAAAAUAGUAACUCCUCACUUUUACAUUUACCCGAAUCUCAAGAGGGAAACUGAAUAAGCUAAUGAGAUGAGGAAGAGUAGGAGGGAGAAGAAGAGUAAAAAGAUGAAGCCGUGGAGGAGGAGGAGGCUACCCCGUCUUAGAUAACAAACCCCGUAUCAUCGACGUAACCGUAGCUAGAGAUAGGCUAGACAGACAAACAGAGAGGUUGCUGAUAAGGGUGAGAGAUACCACGCCGUACGCUACUGUUGAGGCUCGUGGACGGGUAACUGUGGUAAUCUUGAGGGCGCUUCUGAGCGUGAUGUCUGGUCUUCGUGUAUUUAGCCCGGCAGCAGCGGGGAUCAUAUUUCUUAAUGGUCCCUCAAAGCGACCAUGAUUGUCUGUCUAAGUUAGUCUGAAAGGGAAAACGUGAACUAUAGAUAAAAGUAAAGAAUAGAGGAGCAUAAGAACGUACAUUUUGGGUCCUCUCUACCCUCCUUUACGCCUGUCAUUCAAGGGGGGACUCUUGAAGGUACUAUGAUUGUUUGUCUAAGUUAGUCUGAAAGGGAGAACGUGAACUAUAGAUAAAAGUAAAGAAUAGAGGAGCAUAAGAACGUACAUUUUGGGUCCUCUCUACUCUCCUUUACGCCUGUCAUUGAAGGGGGGACUAUUGAAGGUACUGUGAUUGUUUGUCUAAGUUAGUCUGAAAGGGAGAACGUGAACUAUAGGUAAAAGUAAAGAAUAGAGGAGCAUAAGAACGUACAUUUUGGGUCCUCUCUACUCUCCUUUACGCCUGUCAUUGAAGGGGGGACUCUUGAAGGUACUGUGAUUGUCUAAGGUAGUAUGAAAGGGGAAUAUCGUCAAAGGUGUUCUUGAUUGUCUAAGGAGUUUUAAGGAGGAAAAGUGAUCUUGGUAAAUUUACUCUCCUUUAAGCCUGUCAUGUACGGGGGAUGUAUGAAGGUGGUCUGAGGGGAACCGUGUAGUUGCUGACGUGAAACAAAGAAGGCAACUGAAAACUAUGGGCCAAGCAGUUAAACAGUCUCUCGUCUUGUCUAAUUGCCAUCAUUGUUGUCAUGGUAGAGGCUCGUACAGGAAAUAGAGAAAUGAAGCAAAGGGCAGCAAUGGUCGUGGCCGUCGAACCUUUUCUAGCGAAGUUCUCAUUUCCACAAUCCAAAAUUAAUGUUAUUGUUUCCUUGGGUCGUUGACUGGGGGGAAACACACUAAAAAGAGAAAAAAAGUAGUUUCCUCAGGUAGUUUGAUAAAAGGGACUGGAGGAAAUAUUCGCGUGGCAUAGAGGAAGCAAGCAAUCUGUGGUAAUGCUUUUGGCUGGCCCAUGACACAAUAGCCGGCUGGCCGCCCCCACUCUGGUUCCCGCCCGCCUGGCCGCGCGCCAGCCGUGGGAUCGCCCCGAUUACUCACCGCCGCCGUCCCUCGGUGGCUGGCGUGUGCCUGAGGCGGUGCCAAGGCCCUCCCCGACCUGCGACAAAUUCCCCGCCCCUCCCCGCCGACAAUAGGCACGUUUGAAAGGCGUUCACUAUUUAGGCUUCACUUUCUUAACCUCUUUUGAACUCUGCGCCGCCUUUACUUGGCACACAUCUCGGCAGCUCUUGAAUCAGGCCCAGCAGCUCGGCGCCUUCUGUAAUGAUGGGCUACACUUGCUACAGCACCAUAUUGAAAAUCGAAAAUGUGUGAUGGUUAUUUUGUCCAUUCCCUUGAUGAAAAAAGGUAAAACUCAUUCCAGGAGCAUGCCAAGAGAAGAUGGCGCCACUAUAAACACUUGCCUGCGCCAUGACGGGCUGGGGACGACUACCAUCUAGGCCCCUCAGCAAGCCUACCGGCGCAAGAGGCGUAGACGUGAAAAAAACCCACAUCGUACUCAAUACCAAUAUAAAGACAUGGUGUAAUCCAUUGUCUGCACGCUUCUGAAAGUCACGCCCUGAAGCACCGCCAGACGCGUCCCCAGGUGCCCCAAGGUGCUGCUCUGUACUUGCCUGAAGCCCACGCGCAGCUCCCCUAAAAUCACCUCCAGCACCUCAAGCCAAGAAGCACCGAGGCACGGAGGUUGACGAUAGGUUUCUCCCGGAACUGUAACGCUACGAUGAGGGAGGGGGAGGGGAUAGUGGAGGUGGAGGUGUGUUGUGGUGUGGAGGAGGAGAGGGAAGACUUACGUGCCCUAAUACUCCUCUUUUAUGGUGGCCGCAAAACCCUAAGAGGACACGUGAAGCUGUCUAUUGGUGAGGCCUCCUGCAAAGUUGCUGGAUUGUCUCACUCAGCCUCUUAUAUUUACCGACUUCCGACCCAAAAACUGUCUCGUGGAUCCCAAUAAGGAGAUUCACUUAAAAUUAUCGUUAAAAUAGUUAAUUCCUGAUGUUUCUUGGCAAUAGUUAGGCGUCAGAAACCGGGAAAUACUAUGGUCUGAGUACGACAAUCUGGCAAUGGUGGCCUCCUGUGAUUCCCGUGGGUGGACUUCGAAGCUCAUUCAUCCUUGCCUUCCUUCACUCAUGUUCGAAGCUACACAUUGCGGUCGGUGUUCUAAGACGCUUCUUUCUCUUACAUAAAUCAUUUCUAACAGGGCAUAGAAAGAUGUUGACCGUGUUCCCGUGAGUGUUUCUUUACAUUCAUGUGGAGGAGGUGGAGCUGGAGAUCAAGGUGGUGGUGGUGAUGGUGAAAUACAGGUGUUAGUACAGGUGUUUCAGCACAUGUGUACGGAGGGGAACACACAUCAAAGUAUCGUACUCGUCCCUCUGAUAGUUUUGUUGCCAUGGUGGGCAGCCGCUUGUAUAGGAAUUUGAACCCCUCAGGAACCAUAUUCUCAGUUGUUUUCGGCUCUCACAACUAUUUCCAAAGUCAACAAAGGAGAUUAAUCGGGUUCUCAUUACUUGUUAAACUUUCACUAAGGGUCAUAAAACUACUCAUGGAAUUACUAACACAACCUCUACUGUAGGCCUAUCAAAUGUUUCUUUUUAACGUUUAUGGUGUAGAAGCCUUGUCGAACUAUCGCUAAGGGUCAUAAAACUACUCAAGUAAUUACUAACACAACCUCUGCUAUAGCCCUAUCAAAUGUUUCUUUUUAACGUUUAUGGUGCAGAAGCCUUGUCUAUCUAUCGCUAAGGGUCAUAAAACUACUCAUGGAAUUACUAACACAACCUCUGCUAUAGCCCUAUCAAAUGUUUCUUUUUAACGUUCAUGGUUUAGAAGAGACCACCAAUGGCAUCCUUUUUUCUCUCAUUUUUCAAUAUUUCCUUUCUCUCUGGUAGCAUUUCUCUCUACUAUUGUCUUUCUCUUUCCUUCGUUGUCAUUUAUAUUCUAUUCACUUUUCAAUACUUCUCUUUUUCUCUCAACCAAUCAAUCAGUCAGUCAUCUCUCCCUCCACGAAAGUCUUAUCAAUUAUGGGAGUGUAAGAGUCGUAUUUUAAAACAUUUCGUCGGCCAAGUUCACAUAUUUGACAUGGCUUUCGUAGGAGCUGUAGGCCUUUCCAGGGGUAGUUUUAUGACCCUGGUGGUAGUUUGACCCUUCUUCAGUGCCAUGAACCUUAAAAAACAUUCAUGAAAAACAGAUUGAUCCCCUCUUUGACCUUUAGAAAUAGUUGAUGUGAGAAGCGAUGGUGUCUUAAAACACGGCCCUAAGCCCCGACAUGUCUGAGAAUUUGAACCCCUUGACUGACUGACUAGCGACCCAGCAAACAGGAAGAGCGAGCCGAGUUAGGACAAGAGGCUAAGAAUUUGUCAGUCUUCCCUCACAGUGUUUACCCCGCUGGCUAACGUGACAGAGGGAGGAGGAGGCGGAGGAGGAAGAGGAAGGGGGAAAGAGAAGCAAGAAUAGAGGAGGAGGAGAAGGGAAAAGAAGGAAGAGAAGAGGAUAAGGAGAAAAAAGAAGAGUGAUGGAGGAGGGGGAGGAGAAGGAAGGGAGAAGAAGGAAAAGAAAAGGAAGAUGAGAAGGAAGAAGAGGAUAAGAAAGACGAAAGAGAGGAAGACGAGAAGAGGAGGAGGAGAAGGAAAAAGAAGAGAGAAGAGGAUAAGGAGAAAAAAGAAGUGAUGGAGGAGGGGGAGAAGAAAGAGAGAAAAAGGAAAAGAAAAGGAAGAUGAGAAGGAAGAAGAGGAAUAGAAAGACGAAAGAGAGGAAGACGAGAAGAGGAGGAGGAGAAGGAAAAAGAAGAAAGAGAAGAGGAUAAGGAGAAAAAAGAAGUGAUGGAGGAGGGGGAGAAGAAAGAGAGAAAAUGGAAAAGAAAAGGAAGAUGAGAAGGAAGAAGAGGAUAAGAAAGACGAAAGAGAGGAAGACGAGAAGAGAGGAGGAGAAGGAAAAAGAAGAAGUUAAAGCAGAAAAAAAAGACACACACGUCAGACUAAACACUAAAUACGGCUGGUUUUAAUCUUGUUAGUGGAGGAUGGAAUUCUCUGUGCGACCGCGGUGAAACUAUGCUAAGACCCUCGUUAUGCUUGCGAAGGAGGUCAUAAUUUACAAGGCCAUGACCUGUCUAGUGCUUUCUUUCAAGGGUCUGUCUGUCUAUCUGUCUGUCUGUCUGUCUGUCUUCGCAUUUUUUCAUUAUGCCAGAUUGUCGUACUUAGCCUAGCCUCCUAAAUAUACCGAAUCCGACCCCAAAUCUGUCUCCUGGUCCCCAAUAACGAGAUUCAUUUAUAUCUAACGUUAAAAUAGUUAAUUCCUAAUGUUUCUUGGCAAUACAAAGGCUUCAGAAACCGGUAAAUACUAUGCUCUGAGUACGAUAACAUGGCAAGUGCAUCAGGUGUGUGUGUGUGUGUGUGUGUGUGUGUGUGUGUUUUCGUUAUCUUGCGUCUCAGGGUCACAUAUUAUCAUUGCUUCGAGUGUUGUCUAUCGUCUCUGUGGUGUCUGUUAUGCCCUGAGAACAAAACAAAACAAAGUCAAGUGACGUGACUAUUGUUUUGCGAAGUCAGAGUCUCUUGCGUAAUGAUAUGGCUCCACUUUUUAUUCUCCUUGUCUCUUCGCUGAUUAUUUGAAGUGGUUUGUUAUUUUUUUUUUGUUGGUCCUUUUCUUUUCUUGCUUGUUGUUCUUGUUCUCCAUUUGCUUCUUUUCUUUCCCUUCUUUUCUUAUUGCGCGUGUUUUUUCUUUUUCAUUUACUUUUUUUCAUUCCUUUCUUGUGUUCUCGUUCUUCGUUUCCCUUUUUUUCUUUUCUUCCUUAUUGCCAAUGUUCGUAUUUCCUCAUUUAUUACUAUUCUUUCCUUCCUUAUCGUUCACAUUCUUGUUUUCAUUUACUUCGCUUCUUUCCUUCCUGAUUGCCAAUGUUAUAUAGUUUUUCAUUUGCUUAUUUCCUUUGUUUAUUUUAUUCGUUUUUGCAUAUUGUCUUGAUUUUAUUCUUUUUCCUUUUGCUCAUCUUCUGUUGUUGUUGGUGAUGGUAGUGUGUGUGUGUGUGUGUGUGUGUGUGUGUGUGUGUGUGUGUGUGUGUGUGUGACCUCGCUUCGAUCUCCACCCUAUUGCUGCUCGGUGACCUUUGACCUUUUCCAACACUUCUAUAUUUGACCGCCACGAAUUCAACCCGCUCGUGCCUCCCGUUCAAUAGAUAAAAGUCCAGUUUCUCGUGUAUUUAGAUUUUAGAACGUGUGUGUAUCUCUCUCUCUCUCUCUCUCUCUCUCUCUCUCUCUCUCUCUCUCUCUCUCUCUCUCUCUCUCUCUCUCU